AAGAAAAUCGCAAAAAAAAUUACGGCACUUAAAAUGAUAUAUUACUGAACUCGGAUGUCUGCUCGGAAUCGUCUUACGUUAAGCAAUGGUUUAUAGUUGCUUACAGAUAUAAAUGAAAUAACUUUAUGUAUCCUAUCUUCCCGACUUCUCACCUACAACAGUGGCCACUCCCAUCCAUGGUAUCAGCCCUUUUUUGAAUUUAUAUAUAGACCAAGGUAUUUAAACUCAUCAACUUUCUUAUACAUACAGACUCCGUUGAAUUUGCGUC